GCCCGGGAACUACGAGCAAAGCUUAAAACCCAAAGGACUUGACGGUGCCCCACAUCCUUCUAGAGGAGCCUGUCCUACAACCGAUACCCCUCGUUUCACCUCACCACCCUUAGCCUAUCAGCUUGUAUACUUCCGUCGUCAGCUUACCGCAUGAGCGAACAAGUAAGCCCAAUGUCUCACAUCAGUACGUCAGGUCAAAGUGCAGCACAUAGCGUGGCAAGAGAUGGGGUACACUUUCUACCAUAGAAGACACGAAAGACUAUGUGAAACCAUACUCAAAAGGCGGAUUUAGCAGUAAGGGGGGAACAGAAUACCCCCAUUA
rnacentral:rRNA from 1 species